GUAGAGCACUCGGCUGUUAACCGAGUUGUUGCAGGUUCGAGCCCCGCUCGGGGAG
rnacentral:tRNA from 1 species